UUCCCCCUUAGAUUUUUUUAUUAAUUAUUGAGUAGUCCCCCCUAGAAUGGAACGUUGCUACUCGGCCGAGGAGGCGUACGCCAUCCUGGCAGGCAGUGAUAGUGACACUCUGCAAGACAGUGACACUAUCACUGCCUCUGACAUUGAGGCUAUGACUGACUCCUCUAGUGAUGAUGCCCCACCACCACCAACAAGAGGACGCUCCGCAAGCCCAAUGCCAGAUGGAGACUGGGUGCCCCCAAACCUGACGGCCCCAGAUAUUCCCCCAUUUACGGC